rnacentral:lncRNA from 1 species
UUUUGGAUUUUUCUUUCGUCUCAACCUUUCAGAUGACGUGAGAAAUGGGUACAUAUUUCGCAUAUACAAGUUUGCUAGGAAUACUGGAUUUUCAUUUUAUUUUUAGUAAAGUAAUACGAUAUUGACCAAUAACUAGUAUAGUAACAAGCAAGUAGCUUCCUUUACAAAAAAAAAAAAAAAAAAAAAGCAAGCAAAGUAGCAUUUCUUUUAGACUUGGAAAAUUUAUGAAAUCCGAAUUUAAUUCGGGCAAAACAGAUAUGGAGUUAUCUUUUGCUGUCUUAUGAAAAACUCUUGUUAAAUAUAAUUCAGAAAAUUUGAAUCCUAAAAGAUAAUAUCUUAAUUUUUUUUAAUGGUGUACGAUAUUGUUAAACCACUAUGUUAAUUACAUCAAUUCUCUUACAAUCCUACAUAUUAGUCUCUACCCUUUAUUUACGCAUCUAUUCUCAC